AUACGGAGGGUGCAAGCGUUAUCCGGAUUUAUUGGGUUUAAAGGGUUCGUAGGCGGAUCAAUAAGUCAGUGGUGAAAGCCUGUGGCUCAACCAUAGAACUGCCAUUGAUACUGUUGAUCUUGAGUACACUUGAAGUGGGCGGAAUGCGUCAUGUAGCGGUGAAAUGCAUAGAUAUGACGCAGAACACCGAUUGCGAAGGCAGCUCACUAAAUUGUAACUGACGCUGAGGAACGAAAGCGUGGGGAGCGAACAGGAUUAGAUACCCGAGUAGUCC
rnacentral:rRNA from 1 species